rnacentral:rRNA from 1 species
GACUCGUCACACUAUCAUUAACUGAAUCCAUAGGUUAAUGAGGCGAACCGGGGGAACUGAAACAUCUAAGUACCCCGAGGAAAAGAAAUCAACCGAGAUUCCCCCAGUAGCGGCGAGCGAACGGGGAGGAGCCCAGAGCCUGAAUCAGCAUGUGUGUUAGUGGAAGCGUCUGGAAAGGCGCGCGAUACAGGGUGACAGCCCCGUACACAAAAGCGCAUGUGCUGUGAGCUCGAUGAGUAGGGCGGGACACGUGGUAUCCUGUCUGAAUAUGGGGGGACCAUCCUCCAAGGCUAAAUACUCCUGACUGACCGAUAGUGAACCAGUACCGUGAGGGAAAGGCGAAAAGAACCCCGGCGAGGGGAGUGAAAAAGAACCUGAAACCGUGUACGUACAAGCAGUGGGAGCACCCUUUGGGGUGUGACUGCGUACCUUUUGUAUAAUGGGUCAGCGACUUAUAUUCUGUAGCAAGGUUAACCGAAUAGGGGAGCCGGAGGGAAACCGAGUCUUAAUUGGGCGUUAAGUUGCAGGGUAUAGACCCGAAACCCGGUGAUCUAGCCAUGGGCAGGUUGAAGGUUGGGUAACACUAACUGGAGGACCGAACCGACUAAUGUUGAAAAAUUAGCGGAUGACCUGUGGCUGGGGGUGAAAGGCCAAUCAAACCGGGAGAUAGCUGGUUCUCCCCGAAAGCUAUUUAGGUAGCGCCUCGUGAAUUCAUCUCCGGGGGUAGAGCACUGUUUCGGCUAGGGGGCCAUCCCGGCUUACCAACCCGAUGCAAACUGCGAAUACCGGAGAAUGUUAUCACGGGAGACACACGGCGGGUGCUAACGUCCGUCGUGAAGAGGGAAACAACCCAGACCGCCAGCUAAGGUCCCAAAGUCAUGGUUAAGUGGGAAACGAUGUGGGAAGGCCCAGACAGCCAGGAUGUUGGCUUAGAAGCAGCCAUCAUUUAAAGAAAGCGUAAUAGCUCACUGGUCGAGUCGGCCUGCGCGGAAGAUGUAACGGGGCUAAACCAUGCACCGAAGCUGCGGCAGCGACACUCAGGUGUUGUUGGGUAGGGGAGCGUUCUGUAAGCCUGCGAAGGUGGCCUGUGAGGGUUGCUGGAGGUAUCAGAAGUGCGAAUGCUGACAUAAGUAACGAUAAAGCGGGUGAAAAGCCCGCUCGCCGGAAGACCAAGGGUUCCUGUCCAACGUUAAUCGGGGCAGGGUGAGUCGACCCCUAAGGCGAGGCCGAAAGGCGUAGUCGAUGGGAAACGGGUUAAUAUUCCCGUACUUGGUGUUACUGCGAAGGGGGGACGGAGAAGGCUAUGUUGGCCGGGCGACGGUUGUCCCGGUUUAAGCGUGUAGGUGUGUGUUCCAGGUAAAUCCGGUUCACUUUAACACUGAGGCGUGACGACGAGGCACUACGGUGCUGAAGCAACAAAUGCCCUGCUUCCAGGAAA